UGCCCCCCAUAUAGGAUAUUUCUACCCAGCUCUCAGACAUCUUGUACAAUGUCAAUUGUGCCAUCAACUGCUUCCAGGAAGAAUUAGGGUAUGAUUUAAAAGAAAAGGCAAAGCCUCACCAACCACAGCAAAAAGAGAUUCAUCUUGCUGGAGAAAACUGCCUCCUUCUCUAAAGAUGCUAAGACUAAAGAGAAACACCUGUAUGACCUCCUCCACUGGCUGGGUGACUGGGGAGCAGAAAUGACACAGUCUACCCCAGGACGAGUGGCCACUUAUGAAAGCAGGAAGCCUGGCGCACACUGCACAACCUACAGGCAGCUCAACAGGCUGCAGAGUGUGAUUUCCAGAUGGCUCUGCUGGGUGACAGUCUGACCUAUGAGAUCCAGGCACAGGAAGAGGAAGCCCUGGAUGAAUGGAUCCAGGUGAUGGAGAAAGUGUUGCCUUUCUCCCUCACGGCCACCAAAGGAGGCAUCAAGUCUCCUUUGCUCCACUCUCCUGGAAGAACGAAAGAAAAAGACACAAAGCAGUUUCCUGGAACACCUGGCAGGACAGCUGUGGGGAUGGGCUGGAUGCAGUCUCAGGGAAGAAGUCUCAGGGGGUUUAUCAAGGCCUCUGACCCUGCUCUAUAACAAAGGUGCAAAAAACAGUAGAGUGGUAACCUAGGGGGCAGAGCUGGAGGCACUGGAACCACGCUGAGCGUGGAGUUGUCCUGAGCUGCGCCACAGGUUAGGUGGGGAUGGGUGCUUCCUGCGGGUUCUGGGAAACAAGGCCUGAAGGCCAGGAAGGCCACAAUUUUCAGGCAGAGCUUGAGGAGCAGCUUUUCUUCCUGCCAAACCCAGCUGCCAAGCCAAGAGUUGGUACGUUUCAGGGGAAGUCCCUCUGGAGGCUUCCUGGCUUUUCCCGAGGUAAUCAGUCCACAGCCUGGCUAAACUUGGAAUUUUAUUCCUGUUCACACUAUAAGUGACCAGAGAUUAUGGGUCAUAAGAAGGCUGGUGACAAAGCCACCCCCCCACACACACACACUUCGACUUUGGAGUCAGACAUACCAAUUUGAAUCUUAUCUCUGCCAAUUUUGGGUUGGGUGGCUUUGGGUAUCUUUACCUCAUCUCUCUGAGCCUGUUUCUCCAUAUAUAAAAUUAGGAGAAUAUUAUCUCCCUUCCAGGCUGCAGGGAGGCUUUCAUGGAGUAGGAGAUGGCUAAUACUGUGCUUGGUAUUCAGAGCUUAAUAAAUGGUAGCUGAUAUUAGCAUUUCCAUGGAUUCACAUGGACAAGGUCAUUGUCAUUAUCAGUCAAGUGAGAUCAAACAUUGGGGAGGAAGGCAGGGAAAAAUGGACAGGUUGACUGCCUCUCCAAACUCUUCACCACACUCCAUCUUGAAAUAUAAUUACUUGCAAACUUAUUUCCUUGCUAGAGUGUAAACUCUUUUGCAUGUGAAAGACAUAUAUUUAUUUUUAUGUGUAUGUGUGUAUGCCUGAGUGUAUGUAAGUGUACCAUGUGUGCACAGGAGCCCACAGAGGCCAGAAUAGGGCAUUGGA